rnacentral:sRNA from 1 species
UUCUAGCCCCGAUCGGAGUGAACAUCCCGACUUUUUCGUCGGGAUAAAGCGAUGAGCGGGACCAGCA